rnacentral:rRNA from 1 species
ACGCACGCUGGCGGCGUGCUUAACGCAUGCAAGUCGUACGGUAAGGCCCUUUCGGGGGUACACGAGUGGCGAACGGGUGAGUAACACGUGAGUAACCUGCCCACAACUUUGGGAUAACGCUAGGAAACUGGUGCUAAUACUGGAUAUGUGCUCCUGCUGCAUGGUGGGGGUUGGAAAGCUCCGGCGGUUGUGGAUGGACUCGCGGCCUAUCAGCUUGUUGGUGGGGUAGUGGCCUACCAAGGCGGCGACGGGUAGCCGGCCUGAGAGGGUGACCGGCCACAUUGGGACUGAGAUACGGCCCAGACUCCUACGGGAGGCAGCAGUGGGGAAUAUUGCACAAUGGGCGCAAGCCUGAUGCAGCAACGCCGCGUGCGGGAUGACGGCCUUCGGGUUGUAAACCGCUUUCAGCAGGGACGAAGCUUUUUGUGACGGUACCUGCAGAAGAAGCACCGGCUAACUACGUG